AUGAGAUUGUAUUCGUAUUCCUUUAUUCGAAGAAUACAAAAGAAUAUAAGGUGAUCUUUGUAGAAUGGCUCCAAAAAUAUUCUUGUGUAUUUUUUUUGUAGCUGUGCUAUUGACUUCAGAAGCAACAAGUGGCACAAUGGUUGAAGGCUUAAGGAAGGAGUGCGUGAAGCUUAAAGGAAGAAAAUGUUAUGAUAAAGAUUGCGAUGAAGCCUGUUUAGAAAGCAAAUCCGACUAUGGCCAUUAUGGGGGCGACGUAGUCGGCCAUUGUGUGGGCGACCUUUGUUGCUGUUUCUACUGAUAAGUGGAAAAACGAUGAAAUAAAACAUUUUGAAGUUUUAAAUUAAUGAUAUAUGGUUAUUACAAAUUUUAA